rnacentral:misc_RNA from 1 species
UUCAGUGAAGAUAGCGUCAAAAGUAUAGAUACUACAUUAAAGGAUACAAUAACAUUGUUUAGUAGUACUUAUGCAAACGUACAGCUUUUCGGGUGUCUCUGGACCUCUUAGUCAAUAUGUAUUUACUAGACUAAUUUAGUAUAUGUUUAUGAACCAAAGGGUCAACAUUGAAUAAGGAGGUUGAGUCCAGAUACACCCAUUAAUGUUCAAUGGACAGGAUUGAGACGUGUCUAUAAUGGUCCCAUUUAUCAAACUGCUAUUGGUCACUAUCUGGGGGAGCGUCUUCUACAUAUCGUCAGACGCAAAUGUACUUAAACAAUGGGGAGCAAGUAAUCAUUACGAAUCAGGAAUAAAUGCUUUUUCAAAGGAUGCUCAUACAACCAGGAAGCAAAAUUCAAUACAUUUAGACGUUAAGUGUGAUCUUUGUAAAGUAUUCGCAACAAUCAUCCAGGACUACGGCCAAGGCAAGAUAGAGAGGGAUGAUGUGGCUACAAUUUGUAUUGACACUUGCGUUGAUCUCAAACUGUAUAGCGACCGUGUAUGUAAACUAGCAGUUGCAACAUUCAAGGAAUGGGUGUUAACUGUUGCGGACCUUGCGUUCCUAAGUCCAGCCUACAUCUGCGGGACUCUUUUUGGAGAUUCAUGUGCGCAUGCGUAUGAUCCGAGUAUCAUGUGGAACAUCUCGAUAGCUGGGAACAAACCUCCAGUGGUACCACCCAAAACGCCAAAGAAAGGGUCUCCAAUGCUACGAAUACUCCAUAUCUCUGACAUUCAUGUUGAUCCAUUGUACAUGGAAGGUUCAGAUGCAGAAUGUGGAGAACCCCUGUGCUGUAGAUCCAAUGACAAUCCAGCACCUACAGAGGCAAGAAAGGCAGGCAAAUGGGGUGACAUAAGAAACUGUGAUACUCCUUUUCGGACACUGGAGAGUAUGUUUCAACACAUCGCCACUACCCACAAGUUUGAUUACAUUGUGUGGACAGGAGACCUCCCACCACAUAAUGUAUGGAACCAAACACGAAACGACCAGCUGAGUCAGAUUAAGAACCUUACAGCAAUGCUCAACAUUUACUUUCCCGGGAAAGCAAUUUUUCCAGCAGUUGGGAAUCACGAGAGUGUACCAGUAAAUAGUUUCCCUCAACCAUCCAUCACAGGGAGUCAAAACAUUAAAUGGCUGUACACGGCUUUGGCAGAUAGCUGGACACAUUGGCUUCCGGAAAGUUCUAGAAAUACAAUUGAAUAUGGAGGAUACUACUCGGUCCUUGUGAGAGCUGGGUUCAGGAUGAUUGGGCUAAACAUGAACUACUGUGAUAGUGCCAAUUGGUGGCUACUGAUAAAUGCAACGGAUCCUGCAGGACAACUUCAAUGGCUCUCAAAUGAGCUGAAAAUUGCAGAGGAUAAUUCCGAAAAAGUUCAUAUCUUGGGUCAUCAACCACCCAGUAGCUGUUUGAAAGCCUGGAGUUGGAAUUACUACAAACUAGUUACAAGAUUCGAGAACACCAUAGCCGGUCAGUUCUUUGGGCAUACACACAAUGACGAGUUCAAGGUCUUCUAUGAUGCUGAUACGCUUUCUCGACCUGUUGGUGUACUAUAUGUCCCAGGAAGUGUCACUCCUACUGGAGGACGGUUCCCGGCAUAUAGGCUGUACGAAAUAGACGGGUUCUACACUGGCAGCUCGUGGAUGGUGCAGGACCAUUGGACCUACAUGCUGAACUUGACAGAGGCAAACAACAGCCCUUGGGUUGGACCUCAGGACCACCCCUUGUGGAAACUUGAAUAUGCGGCAAAGGCGACAUACGGACUUGACAAUCUGUUUCCUGAAAGCUGGGACAAACUUAUAACUAGGUUUGAAAAAGAUGAUAAGUUGUUCCAGAAAUAUAACAGACAAUUUUCACGGGCGAACAGCGGAGGCAUUUGUGAACAGACAUGUAAAAGGAACAUGAUAUGCAACAUGCGCAGUGCCAGAUCAUACGACCCAGCAUUGUGUAAUGAUAUUCUACCAGGCGCUGCAUACAACGAAUAUAUACAAUUCAAGAAUGACAUUAUUGCCUGUUAGGCUUUUCAAUAGUACCAAAGUGCACUAUAUUAAAUAUGUCAAAUGAUUUAUGCCCAGAGCUCAGUAAAUUAUACACGAUUUUAAGCACAGUCUUGAGACUUUGAAUGAGGGCGGGGUGGAAUCCGGGAUUCAGAGGUCAACAUCAAGAAACGAGUGCAUUAAGUAAUUGAUUUCACUAAUUCUAAAACGCAUAUUGUAUACUUUGUGCCGAUUGGCUACUUAUGUGUGAAUGUUCAUUCUUGCUACCGACUGGAUGAAUAAAUACUUUUUUAUCAUCUUGUGAAUUGGAGUUUUACUUAAAAACCUCCAAAGAAAUGAUUGUAUUUUUACUUCAAAUACACAUUUAACAGAAAAGGCAUACCGGUUUAGUUAUUAAGAGAAGGUUGUGUUUCCAAAAAUGAAAUGAAAUGAUAGAAGACACUCCUAAAGGACAUAAAACGACACGUGGAAGAAAUUUUAUUUUCCAACGGGAUAGUGCUCCAUCACACAGGUCUAAUGCUACCCUCCCGGAGCUAUCUUGGAGUUUUGGAGGCACAAAAUGACCCCGUCAUUAGUCCAGACAAAUGGCAUUCUAACAGUC